rnacentral:rRNA from 2 species
UAAGCGGAGGAAAAGAAACCAACCGGGAUUGCCUCAGUAACGGCGAGUGAAGCGGCAUGAGCUCAAAUUUGAAAUCUGGUCCCCGCGGGGCCCGAGUUGUAAUUUGGAGAGGAUGCUUCGGGCGUGGCCGCGGCCUAAUUCGCUUGGAACAGCGGGUCAGAGAGGGUGAGAAUCCCGUCCGGGGCCGUGGGCCGCCGUCCAGGUGAAGCUCCUUCGACGAGUCGAGUUGUUUGGGAAUGCAGCUCUAAAUGGGUGGUAAAUUUCAUCUAAAGCUAAAUAUGGGCCAGAGACCGAUAGCGCACAAGUAGAGUGAUCGAAAGAUGAAAAGCACUUUGAAAAGAGAGUUAAACAGUAUGUGAAAUUGUUGAAAGGGAAGCGCUUGCGACCAGACUUGCGGGCGGCGGUUCCCCCGGGCCUCGUGCCCGGGCCACUCCGCCGUCUCCAGGCCAGCAUCGGUUCGGGGGACCGGUGAAAGGCCCCGGGAAUGUACCAACCUCCGGGUUGACUUAUAGCCCGGGGUGCAAUGUGGCCCCCCCGGACCGAGGCACGCGCUCCGGCUCGGAUGCUGGCGUAAUGGUCGCAAGCGGCCCGUCUUGAAACACGGACCAAGGAGUCUAACAUCUGUGCGAGUGUUUGGGUGGUAAACCCCGGCGCGUAAUGAAGGUGAACGGAGGUAAGAGCCCGUCCCGGGUGCAUUAUCGACCGAUCCUGAAGUCUUCGGAUGGAUUUGAGUAAGAGCACAGCUGUUGGGACCCGAAAGAUGGUGAACUAUGCCUGAAUAGGGUGAAGCCAGAGGAAACUCUGGUGGAGGCUCGCAGCGGUUCUGACGUGCAAAUCGAUCGUCAAAUUUGGGUAUAGGGGCGAAAGACUAAUCGAACCAUCUGGUAGCUGGUUCCUGUCGAAGUUUCCCUCAGGAUAGCAGUAACGUGUUCAGUUUUAUGAGGUAAAGCGAAUGAUUAGAGGCCUUGGGGUUGAAACAACCUUAACCUAUUCUCAAACUUUAAAUAUGUAAGAAGUCCCUGUUGCUCCGUUGAACGGGGACACUUGAAUGCAGCGUUACUAGUGGGCCAUUUUUGGUAAGCAGAACUGGCGAUGCGGGAUGAACCGAACGCGAGGUUAAGGUGCCGGAAUGCACGCUCAUCAGACACCACAAAAGGUGUCAAUGCAUCCAGACAGCCGGACGGUGGCCAUGGAAGUCGGAAUCCGCUUAGGAGUGUGUAACAACUCACCGGCCGAAUGCAUUGGCCCUGAAAAUGGAUGGCGCUUAAGCGUGCUACCUAUACCUCGCCGUCGGGGUUGAAAUGAGGCCCCGACGAGUAGGCAGGCGUGGGGGUCGGUGACGAAGCCUCGGGGGUGACCCCGGGUCGAACGACCCC